AACGCACCUUGCGCCCCUUGGCUAUUCCGAGGGGCAUGCCUGUUUGAGUAUCAUGAACACCUCAACUCUAACGGUUCACCCGUGACGAGCUUGGACUUCUGGAGGUUUUGCUGGCCUGUGGUCGGCUCCUCUCAAAUGGAUCAGCUUACCAGUGUUUGGUGGCGCCAUGGGUGUGAUAACUAUCUACGCCUGCGGCCGUCUGCCAGGAGACCUUCAGUGAUGGGGGUUGGCUGGGGCUUACAAAUGUCUCUCCUCAGCGAGGACAGCUUUUUUAACGUUCGAUCUCAAAUCAGGUAGGACUACCCGCUGAACUUAA
rnacentral:misc_RNA from 1 species